rnacentral:lncRNA from 1 species
CAGCCUAAGAAUGAAUGUCAUACUUCUGAUAUUGACUUGAUAAAACAUGCAAUAGUAAAGAAAACAACACUGGAAGCCGCUAAGAGUAUAACACAUCACAUAAAACAUUUAGAAUGACCACAAGAGAAGAGAUCAAAGAAGUAGAAGAGAAGCGAAAACAGAGAGGCGAAGAGAUAGAGUGAGUCGAGUUUGUCCGCUAGACCUAGGUGCUUGUGCAUUGGUGAAUGAGGUUCCAGGUGCCGAGGUUGGAGAUUUUGCUGUAACCGGAGGUAGUGGUGGCUCAGUUACAUCAUCAUCUGUGAAAACCGGGUUUGGAGCUUGGGCUGGAGGUAUGGCAUUCACAAGGUUUAAGAAAAGUCCCGGUGGAACAGGGGACAUGUAUUGUGGUGGUAUAGUUUCUUUUGUUCCCAAACAUCGAUUCCCUGCACAAGAGAAAACAAAGUCACGCAUUGUUGUGAGUGGGUUCUGAAAGUUUGGGGGCGGCCACUUACUUUUGUAUCUUGCAGCUGUGAAAGGAAACUCUGUGAUGGUUCCAUCGAUACCAGCUCCGCUGACAUAAGAGUUUAUCUCAACGGUUGGCCUCGCCGUUGUUAAAGCUCAGAUUCCUUUCGGGAGGAAAUCGGUGCUGGAAGGGUUCGGUGGGAUUCUGUUUAGGGCGUGGAGAGAGGUUGAGGAUGAUUUGAGAGGUGAGAUUGAAGAAGGUUUUAUGCAGGGGAUUGUUGAUUGUGCUAUUCACGCCGGUUCGUCCGCCUUUGCUGCUUCUCUAAGGAAGGUUCUCGGAGGGGUUAUUAGCCAGAGGACUACUCAAGGUGUUGAGAAGCUCCUCUUUGGCCUCGCUGAGCCUAUGAUAUUCCGAUCGUUGCAGGUUAGUUUCUCUAACUUAUUGUUAAAGAUGCUUGUACAUACCUAGAACUAGUGUUAUAAAAAUCGGUCUAGGCAGCGACUAGGCACCCGUUUAAACAAUAAUCCUCUAUAAGACGCUUAACCACCACCUAGUGAUUUUUAGAAUAUUGCGUAGAACUUAACUAAACUGCUCUGAUGACCAUUUCAGGUUGCAAAUUCAAAUGUUCGUUUAAACGCGUUACAUUUGCUUCUGGAUCUUUUCCCCAUGGAGGAUCCGGAUGCAACGAAAGAAGAGAAAGAUAAGCUGCUUGACAAACAGUUCUACUUGUUAGAGAAAUUAAUGAGCGAUGAAUGCCCUGAUGUGAGGUCUGUUGCUGUGGAAGGUCUCUGUCGAGUUUUCUAUCUUUUCUGGGAAGUGAUCCCGUCGCCAACGAUUACCAAGAUCAUCACCAAGAUCUUCAACGACAUGUCGCAUGAGUCUUGCAGUGAGGUUAGGCUUUCGACGGUUAAUGGUAUAACUUAUCUCCUCGCGAACCCUCAGUCCCAUGGUAUUCUUAAGGUGCUUCUACCGAGACUGGGGCAUUUGAUGCUGGAUAGUGUUACUUCGAUACGUGUUGCCAUGGUGGAUCUGCUCCUGCUCUUGAGAGAUGUGCGUACUUUCCAGUUUAACACGGUAGUGAGUUUGGAUGUGUUAUUAUCUGUGCUUGCUUCUGACCAAACUCAUGUUGCUAAGGGAAUCGCACGGCUGCUGAUGCCAUCCUAUUUUCCAUCGAGAAAGAGAGCUGAGGAGGCCUGCACACGAUGUAGGACACUCAUAAACAGAAACCCACUUGCUGGUGCAAGGUUCUGCGAGUUUUUAGUAUCUUUAGGAGCAACCCUUCAAUCUGCACGGCAGCUGGUGGGAUUCUUCUUGGAUUCGAUCUUGUCAGAUGAUGAUAAGCUAGAGGAUAACCAGAUUGAAGGCUUGCUUCUUGCUGCGUACCAUCUCUGUAAAGAUCUGGUUGCUGCUGAUUCUGGGUGUAUGGCCUCUCUUAAAGAGUUGUUACCUGGAGAAAAACUGAAAAGCUUGCUAGCUUUUGCACCCACUGCACAGGCUCAGUCAGCUGUCUUUGAUAUUCUUGCUAUGGUCUCCCCUGAAACCGUCUCUGAGGUACUAGAGGAUUGCAUGAGUUUGGUUGUUAAUUGUGGUGGUUCUUGCGCUAUGGUAGGUAUAGAAAGAGAGCUGAGGAGGCCUGCACGCGCUGUAGGACACUCAUCAACAGAAACCCACUGGCUGGUGCAAGAUUUUGCGAGUUUUUAGUAUCUUUAGGAGCUACCGUUCAAUCAGCACGCCAGCUGGUGGGAUUCUUCUUGGAUUCCAUCUUGUCAGGUGAUGAUAAGCUAGAGGAUAACCAGAUUGAAGGCUUGCUUGUUGCUUCGUACUAUCUCUGUAAAGAUCUGGUUGCUGCUGAUUCUGGGUGUAUGGCCUCUCUUAAAGAGUUGUUACCUGGAGAAAAACUGAAAAGCUUGCUAGCUUCUGCACCCACUGCGCAGGCUCAGUCAGCUGUCUUUGAUAUUCUUGCUAUGGUCUCCCCUGAGACCGUCUCUGAGGUACUAGAAGAUUGCAUGAAUUUGGUUGUUACCUGUGGUGGUUUGCCUGGUGAUGAAGGAAGACAGGUCGAGAUUAGGUCUGUACACAAGUUACUCCUGUCUUCUAAUGCCUUUUCUGACCUCAUUGGAACUUUCACCAGUACCCUGCAGAAGACUGCGUACCGCUGCCAGAUCAAUUUCGGCGAUGAAGUAGAGAGAAAUAAUGUCUACUCAGCUACGAGGAAGAAAUCAAAGUCCUCUAAAAAUUCAUCUUCCGCAAAGUGGAAACAUGUUAGCGAGAAAAAUGCAAUCAGCUUCGAGGACGAUUAUUCGGUAGCUGUAGGAAUAUCAUGGCAGAUAAAGGAUUUACUUAUCAUGGAAGAUGCUCGUAAAGCAAUACUCGAGUCUUCUGAUAUUGAGGAGUUGUGCAUUGCCUUAAAAGUAGUCUCCCAGACUAGCAUACUGCAAUCCUCUUGUUGUAGAUACAUGGACGUGUACCCUGUAUUAGCAUAUACUUCUCUUGCUUUACACAUGACUCUUCAGAAUCUUGAUACGGAUGUACAGAUGAAUGAUACAGAGGCAAGAACCUUUUAGCUUUCCCUCUUGAUUCUUUACUCUUUAUUACAAUCAGAUUACUAACUUAUUAGGAUUUUUUUUUUUUGCUUAACAGGAUAUUCUGGACCAAACAAUGAGUCACAUUCUAGGCUGUACAGAACAACUAUUCCAGGAAGGUGACAAUGGAACGUCAGAGACCAUAGCUCUAAAGACGCACCUUAGCAAGAAAUCAAAAAGAAGAAAUUCAAAUGACAGUGAUGAUGGUGAGUGGAGACGUUGAGUUCAUUAUGUAGCUCUUGCUUAUUGUUAGUAAGAGUCAAUGAAGAAUUCUAACAUUGUUAUUAUGCUUCAUGCAGCUUCAGAGGGUCUUAGAUCAAAGGAAGGAGGUGUACUGAACAAGGUGAAGAUGCUAACUGCGAUUCUCAAGUUUAUCGUUGAGUCAACAGAGAUGGGUCUUGCUUCUCAUUUCCAAGCAAGAAUGUUGAAGUUCACAUCUGCAUAUCUCAAGUACGCCAUCUCCAGUUUCGACCACCAUUCAACUGGUAAGUUACAGUUUGAGGAUGCAGAUUUGAAGGACAUAAUUCUGUGUGCCAAAAGCUCGACCAGUUACGCCGGGAAGUUGAUAAACCUGCUGAUGAGAGGACCGUCAUGCCCUUUGUUUGAAGCUUUUGACCUUGCGAACGACCUGCUUGAUCUAUUCACCGCGGUGGAGAUAUCGUUAGGCUCGGCUUAUGCAUUAAAACUCGUGACAGCUUUAAACCCGUGGAUACCAGAUUUGGUUCUUGCAUUAGGACCUUGUUUCAUCAACAACAACAUGGAAGAAGAAGAAGAAGAUUCAUACACCAGCAGAUUCAAUCACAUCAAACUCUGCUUUCCGACAUGGCUUCUUACAUGCGCGAAGCUUGAGCUACAUGAAAUGGAUGACACCUCAGAGUCAUCUCAUCUCCAACUCCCGGCACUCAAAAGACUGAGAGAUACCAUAGUUUCGUUGGUGAAAGGUAGCUCCAAAGUGGUUGAUGGAAUCGGUUACGUUGUUUUGAUGUGUUCAGCCGUGUGUAUAGAGAAGAAAGAUUACAGUACAGUUUUAGGGUUGCUGCACUUUCUAUGUGUGAAGUUGCUUAGUAGGGAAGAAGAAGAAGAAGAAGAUAGAGAGUGGAAAGAGCUUGACACAAUGUUGGUCUCGCUUCCGAGGAUUUACCCAAUGAUAGAGAGAGAGAUUGGUGAAGAAAGAGAUGAAGAGGAAGUGAAGAAGCUCGAGGCCGCAAGAGAAUUGCUUCUACCUGUGUGGACCUACCAUGUCUAUGAAACCGGAAGGUUUCGCAUGAUGGAGGAGGAAGAAGAAUAGAUAAUGUCGGUUUAGAGCUUUGAUGUGUUGUAAUAUACAUUCGUUAGUGUGUUCAUUUGAACUCUGAAUCUCAGUUUGAUCCGAGUCUAUGUGAAUCAAAGUCUAUGUGAAUCAAAGUCUAUGUGAAUCCACACAAAGACAGAGAUUCAACCCUUGUAUUCUAAGAAAGAAUCACACAUAGCUUUUUUUAAAAACAAGAACAAGCCAAAAGGCUUAAAGAAAGAUAAACUCUCUGAUAUCAAAUAAAUUUCUGUCGUUACAUUGAACACAAAGCUGACAAAAUAAACGCAGAAUCUAAUAAAAAAGAGAAAUAUAAUAGCUUUUUUUAAGUUUUUGUACAAAAAUAACUCUAAGAAAAUGACUAAAAUAGCUUUUUUUUUAUUUUGAAAAUUUUAAUAUUUAUUUUUUAAAAUUUGAAACCAUAUCUCCAAAACUUCACCCCUUAAGUCUAAAUCUAAGUCUAAAUUAGUUAGCCCAAAAAUACAUUUUUAUAUUUUAAUAAAACUUAUUAUGGUUUUUUUUUAUUUAGAGUUAUUUUGUAACAAAAACUUAAAAAUUGUGAGUUAUCCUACUAAAUUUCUCAUAUAGAUAUUCAACAAAUCAAUCAAUACGUGAUUGAUUCUUGGAGGCCAAACAAGCGGGCACAAAUAAAAUUAAGCUGGCUUAAGCGGAUAAUCUUGUGUCUAUAUUUCAGCCUAAGAAUGAAUGUCAUACUUCUGAUAUUGACUUGAUAAAACAUGCAAUAGUAAAGAAAACAACACUGGAAGCCGCUAAGAGUAUAACACAUCACAUAAAACAUUUAGAAUGACCACAAGAGAAGAGAUCAAAGAAGUAGAAGAGAAGCGAAAACAGAGAGGCGAAGAGAUAGAGUGAGUCGAGUUUGUCCGCUAGACCUAGGUGCUUGUGCAUUGGUGAAUGAGGUUCCAGGUGCCGAGGUUGGAGAUUUUGCUGUAACCGGAGGUAGUGGUGGCUCAGUUACAUCAUCAUCUGUGAAAACCGGGUUUGGAGCUUGGGCUGGAGGUAUGGCAUUCACAAGGUUUAAGAAAAGUCCCGGUGGAACAGGGGACAUGUAUUGUGGUGGUAUAGUUUCUUUUGUUCCCAAACAUCGAUUCCCUGCACAAGAGAAAACAAAGUCACGCAUUGUUGUGAGUGGGUUCUGAAAGUUUGGGGGCGGC